UAUAAUUUGCGUAGUCAAGAAAACCGGUUUUGAAUAGUUGUGCAAAUGAUAUAUAAACAGCUGAACGCCAUAUGUCCCAAACACCCGUCAUCAAUUUCUGUUCGAUUAAACACCAAAAAAUAAGGUGAACCUCUGCAAGAUGAAAAUAGUCAAGAUUAUAUGUGCGAUGUUCAUUAUGCUAAUAUCAGUUUUAGCAGGCACAGCUAGUGGAGUACCACCUAGAGGUCGACUUGAAUCUACCAGAAUAAAAAGAGAUGAUAAUUACCACAAUUUGGAUAGAAUUGUAAAGUAACUGGUGAACAGAGAUAUAUGUGUUGCACAACAGACUGGAACUUUCAUCUUUGAAACUUAACUAAAUAUGUUUCUAGUUAUUUUGUGAAUUAGUUUAAUUUCAUCUUUAAAUGAUACAUUUUU